rnacentral:rRNA from 1 species
UACGGAGGGAGCUAGCGUUGUUCGGAAUUACUGGGCGUAAAGCGCACGUAGGUGGCUUUGUAAGUUAGAGGUGAAAGCCCGGGGCUCAACUCCGGAAUUGCCUUUAAGACUGCAUCGCUAGAAUUGUGGAGAGGUGAGUGGAAUUCCCAGUGUAGAGGUGAAAUUCGUAGAUAUUGGGAAGAACACCGGUGGCGAAGGCGGCUCACUGGCUCAUUACUGACGCUCAGGCGCGAUAGCGUGGGGAUCAAACAGG